rnacentral:rRNA from 1 species
AACAGGAUUAGAUACCCUGGUAGUCCACGCCGUAAACGAUGGAUGCUAGCUGUUAUCGGUAUCGACCCCGAUAGUAGCGAAGCUAACGCGUUAAGCAUCCCGCCUGUGGAGUACGGUCGCAAGACUAAAACAUAAAGGAAUUGACGGGGACCCGCACAAGCGGUGGAGCGUGUUGUUUAAUUCGAUGGUAAGCGAAGAACCUUACCCAGGCUUGACAUCCUUGGAAGGUCUCCGAAAGGAGACUGUGCCUUUGGAACCAAGUGACAGGUGUUGCAUGGCCGUCGUCAGCUCGUGUCGUGAGAUGUUUGGUUAAGUCCAUCAACGAGCGCAACCCUUGUGAGUAGUUGAAUUUUUCUACUCAAACUGCCCUGGCAACAGGGAGGAAGGGGGGGAUGAUGUCAGGUCAGUAUUACCCUUACGUCUGGGGCUACAAACACGCUACAAUGGCCGGUACAAAGGGCUGCCAAGUCGCGAGACGGAGCAAAUCCCAUCAAAGCCGGUCUCAGUUCGGAUAGCAGGCUGAAACUCGCCUGCUUGAAGCUGGAAUCGCUAGUAACGGUAGGUCAGCACACUACCGUGAAUACGUUCCCGGGUCUUGUACACACCGCCCGUCAAACCAUGAAAGUCGCCAAUACCUGACGUCUUAGCUUGUCUAGGCCUAAGGUAGGGGAGAUGAUUGGGGUUAAGUCGUAACAAGGUAACC